rnacentral:rRNA from 1 species
UACGUAGGGGGCUAGCGUUGUCCGGAUUUAUUGGGCGUAAAGAGCGUGUAGGCGGCCAGGUAGGUCUGCUGUGAAAACUCGAGGCUCAACCUCGAGAUGUCGGCGGAAACCAUCUGGCUAGAGUCCGGAAGAGGAGAGUGGAAUUCCUGGUGUAGCGGUGAAAUGCGCAGAUAUCAGGAGGAACACCAAUGCGAAGGCAGCUCGCUGGGACGUUACUGACGCUGAGACGCGAAAGCGUGGGGAGCAAACAGG